UGGGGAAUAUUGGACAAUGGGCGAAAGCCUGAUCCAGCCAUGCCGCGUGUGUGAAGAAGGUCUUCGGAUUGUAAAGCACUUUAAGUUGGGAGGAAGGGCAGUAAGUUAAUACCUUGCUGUUUUGACGUUACCGACAGAAUAAGCACCGGCUAACUCUGUGCCAGCAGCCGCGGUAAUACAGAGGGUGCAAGCGUUAAUCGGAAUUACUGGGCGUAAAGCGCGCGUAGGUGGUUCGUUAAGUUGGAUGUGAAAGCCCCGGGCUCAACCUGGGAACUGCAUCCAAAACUGGCGAGCUAGAGUAUGGUAGAGGGUGGUGGAAUUUCCUGUGUAGCGGUGAAAUGCGUAGAUAUAGGAAGGAACACCAGUGGCGAAGGCGACCACCUGGACUGAUACUGACACUGAGGUGCGAAAGCGUGGGGAGCAAACAGG
rnacentral:rRNA from 1 species